UACGGGGGGGGCAAGCGUUGUUCGGAAUUACUGGGCGUAAAGGGCUCGUAGGUGGCCAACUAAGUCAGACGUGAAAUCCCUCGGCUUAACCGGGGAACUGCGUCUGAUACUGGAUGGCUUGAGUUUGGGAGAGGGAUGCGGAAUUCCAGGUGUAGCGGUGAGAUGCGUAGAUAUCUGGAGGAACACCGGUGGCGAAGGCGGCAUCCUGGACCAACACUGACACUGAGGAGCGAAAGCCAGGGGAGCAAACGGG
rnacentral:rRNA from 1 species